GGUGAGUAACACGUGGGCAAUCUGCCCUUCACUCUGGGACAAGCCCUGGAAACGGGGUCUAAUACCGGAUAACACUCUGUCCCGCAUGGGACGGGGUUAAAAGCUCCGGCGGUGAAGGAUGAGCCCGCGGCCUAUCAGCUUGUUGGUGGGGUAAUGGCCUACCAAGGCGACGACGGGUAGCCGGCCUGAGAGGGCGACCGGCCACACUGGGACUGAGACACGGCCCAGACUCCUACGGGAGGCAGCAGUGGGGAAUAUUGCACAAUGGGCGAAAGCCUGAUGCAGCGACGCCGCGUGAGGGAUGACGGCCUUCGGGUUGUAAACCUCUUUCAGCAGGGAAGAAGCGAAAGUGACGGUACCUGCAGAAGAAGCGCCGGCUAACUACGUGCCAGCAGCCGCGGUAAUACGUAGGGCGCAAGCGUUGUCCGGAAUUAUUGGGCGUAAAGAGCUCGUAGGCGGCUUGUCACGUCGGAUGUGAAAGCCCGGGGCUUAACCCCGGGUCUGCAUUCGAUACGGGCUAGCUAGAGUGUGGUAGGGGAGAUCGGAAUUCCUGGUGUAGCGGUGAAAUGCGCAGAUAUCAGGAGGAACACCGGUGGCGAAGGCGGAUCUCUGGGCCAUUACUGACGCUGAG
rnacentral:rRNA from 1 species